AGAUGUGCAACUCUGAUUGAUUCCAGGUAACAGCUCAGCUUUUUCUCCUUACCAAGUGCAUCAAGUUUGGACUUGUUGAACAGAGUCGUGAAGAUCGGGACAUCACUGCACUGAAUAAAUGAUUAAGAGAUUUCAAAUAGGACUCCACAGUCAUUGACUGCAUCAAUCAAACUGCAGGAAAGUUGGAGAACCAGAAAAGAUUUGAAGAAUCCUCAGAAAUAUUGUUUGGAAAAUUACUUAUUUGAUGUGUUUUACACUGGGCAGUCUCAUGCUUUACUUUUACUCACUCUGUGCUGUUUUAUGUGACAUGUCUGAGCUUGUGUGGUGUUUUCAGUUCCCAAUAAACCCUGGAUUAAAUGGGUGGAGAAAAAAUUAAGAAAAGCCAAGGACCUUUUGAAGCCACACAGCACGAGUUAAGACAAGAACACAUAGAGAAAGUCUGGGGUGUGGAGACAAGAUUCUUUAUUCUCUGACAAAUUUCAACAAACUAGUUUGAGAGAGAGGAGAUGAAGAGAGCAGCAUAUUAAGACAGUGGAGAAGAGGUGAAGGUAGAAAGUGUGUGUGAGCUGAUGUGGAUGUGAAUUAAGCAUCAUGGAUCAGUGUG